rnacentral:rRNA from 1 species
AUUGAACGCUGGCGGCAUGCCUUACACAUGCAAGUCGAACGGCAGCACGGGAGCUUGCUCCUGGUGGCGAGUGGCGAACGGGUGAGUAAUACAUCGGAACGUACCCUGAAGUGGGGGAUAACGUAGCGAAAGUUACGCUAAUACCGCAUAUUCUGUGAGCAGGAAAGAGGGGGAUCGCAAGACCUCUUGCUUUAGGAGCGGCCGAUGUCGGAUUAGCUAGUUGGUGAGGUAAAGGCUCACCAAGGCGACGAUCCGUAGCGGGUCUGAGAGGAUGAUCCGCCACACUGGGACUGAGACACGGCCCAGACUCCUACGGGAGGCAGCAGUGGGGAAUUUUGGACAAUGGGCGCAAGCCUGAUCCAGCCAUGCCGCGUGAGUGAAGAAGGCCUGGUU